GUGGGUUACGGAGACACCUGCCCGGUGACGCUGCCGGGGAAGAUCGUGGCGACUCUGUGUAUCGUCUGUGGACUGUUGGUGGUCGCUCUGCCCAUCACCAUCAUCUUCAACAAG